rnacentral:rRNA from 1 species
UGCAAGUCGAACGGUAACAGAACUAGCUUGCUAGUUGCUGACGAGUGGCGGACGGGUGAGUAAUACUUAGGGAUCUGCCUCUGUGUGGGGGAUAACUAUUGGAAACGAUAGCUAAUACCGCAUAACGUCUACGGACCAAAGAGGGCUUCGGCUCUCGCGCAGAGAGGAACCUAAGCGAGAUUAGCUUGUUGGUGAGGUAAAGGCUCACCAAGGCGACGAUCUCUAGCUGUUCUGAGAGGAAGAUCAGCCACACUGGAACUGAGACACGGUCCAGACUCCUACGGGAGGCAGCAGUGGGGAAUAUUGCACAAUGGGGGCAACCCUGAUGCAGCCAUGCCGCGUGUGUGAAGAAGGCCUUCGGGUUGUAAAGCACUUUCAGUUGUGAGGAAAGGUUAGUAGUUAAUACCUGCUAGCUGUGACGUUAACAACAGAAGAAGCACCGGCUAACUCCGUGCCAGCAGCCGCGGUAAUACGGAGGGUGCGAGCGUUAAUCGGAAUUACUGGGCGUAAAGCGCACGCAGGCGGUCUGUUAAGCUAGAUGUGAAAGCCCCGCGCUCAACGUGGGAGGGUCAUUUA